AUUGAACGCUGGCGGCAUGCCUAACACAUGCAAGUCGAGCGAGCGUCGGACGGGUGAGUAAUGUAUGGGGACUGCCCGGUAGAGGGGGAUAACUACUGGAAAUGGUAGCUAAUACCGCAUACUAUCGGAUAACCCAUAUGGGAUUAGCUAGUAGGUUAGGUAAUGGCUCACCUAGGCGACGAUCCCUAGCUGGGCUGAGAGGAUGAUCGGCCACACUGGGACUGAGACACGGCCCAGACUCCUACGGAGGCAGCAGUGGGGAAUAUUGCACAAUGGGCGCAAGCCUGAUGCAGCCAUGCCGCGUGUAUGAAGAAGGCCCUAGGGUUGUAAAGUACUUUCAGUCGGGAGGCGUUACCGAAAGAGGAAGCAACGGCUAACUCCGUGCCAGCAGCCGCGGUAAUAC
rnacentral:rRNA from 1 species